rnacentral:lncRNA from 1 species
AUCAAUAGGCACAAGUUUGUGAUCCUUACGUUUUGGCACAUCAACUGCUGCCAUGCGCAAUAUGACGACCAAACAUGGUACAUUCAUAGGUCAUUAUAUUACCGUAGAUGUAUCAGGAAACAACAACAUUUGAAAUUUGGGAAUUCUUUUAUGUUG